rnacentral:lncRNA from 1 species
CUUAAAUCCUUUUGUAAAUCUGAACAUUAGCCACUGAAGCAUAAGGAACACAGGUGCUUUAAAAAAUGAUAUAAAUUCAUAGAUUAUGUUUUAUGUUGUAGUUUAUCCUUGAACAUUUCUUAAUUCAGUUAUUGACCAGAAUUACUUUUAAAAUACCAUUUUCUUAUGCUUUGCAGUGAUGAUGAUGCCUUUUUGACACUGCAGCUAACAGGCAUAAAUGAGAAAGCUAUUCCAACUGAAAUAUCACCACAAGGGACCACAACAGGAGGAGAACUGAUUUCCCACUUCUUUGUCCUUUCACAUCUGUUGAACGUGACAGAUUCUCAAACAGCCUGAAGGAUUGAUCUGACUGCAAAACCACUCUCUCAGGCCAGCAGAUGCAAACUUCUGGAGGAGAGGGCUGAACAUUGUCCAUAGGAAGCUCUUUGAAUUCUUAUAUGUAUGAAGGGCUUAAAACAGUGGUACGAAGUAGAUUGAAAUGAAAGUGAAGUGAAUACCCUCUUAAGUAAGCUUCAUGCUACUACAAUAUGCACGUUCCAAAGAACGUGGCAGCACUAAUGGUUGGAAUCUUUAGAGGAAAACCCUACAAGGAUAUUCAACUGCAGAGAAGUAAAGACUGCAAGAUUGAACACUCACUUUAGAAGCACCCCAGAAGCAGACUCACUUCAUGAAGCCUUGAUCUGCACUACCAUGAAGAUCUGGAACUUUAAAUAAAUAAAAGGCAGAAGUCCAUACUAGGAGAAAAGCUCUGUUCUCUGCAGCAUGAUAACCCAUCGGGAAACAGAAAAGGUCCUGCCUGAUCUAAAGCUGUGGAAAUCCUUCAACUCAAAAGACAAGGCUCACUGGCAGUUUCAGAGAACCAAGACAAUAAACAUAAAACUGAUAUCCAAGAGGAUAAACAUAAAACUGAUCUUCUGUCCAUACAGUGACACCUUAGAGACUCCAGGAAAGAUCCAGUCAAAUUCACAUACAUUCAGGUUUACCCUAUCUUUCCAGGACUUUCAGUGGCAUUCAUUUCUUAAAAGUGUCUUGCCCAGUUAUGCCAAGAUAUUUGCUUAA